UUUGGAUUCACUCAGAAAUCUUGUUAAAAUGCAGAUUCUGAUUGAGCAGGUCUGGUGCAGACCAGAUGCCUGCGAUUCAGCAUUUCUAACAAGCUCCCUGGUAAGGCCAUU
rnacentral:miRNA from 1 species